rnacentral:rRNA from 1 species
GACGAACGCUGGCGGCGUGCUUAACACAUGCAAGUCGAACGGUAAGGCCCUUCGGGGUACACGAGUGGCGAACGGGUGAGUAACACGUGGGUGAUCUGCCCUGCACUUCGGGAUAAGCCUGGGAAACUGGGUCUAAUACCGGAUAGGACCACUGCCUGCAUGGGUGGUGGUGGAAAGCUUUUGCGGUGUGGGAUGGGCCCGCGGCCUAUCAGCUCGUUGGUGGGGUGAUGGCCUACCAAGGCGACGACGGGUAGCCGGCCUGAGAGGGUGACCGGCCACACUGGGACUGAGAUACGGCCCAGACUCCUACGGGAGGCAGCAGUGGGGAAUAUUGCACAAUGGGCGCAAGCCUGAUGCAGCGACGCCGCGUGAGGGAUGACGGCCUUUGGGUUGUAAACCUCUUUCAGCACCGACGAAGCGCAAGUGACGGUAGGUGCAGAAGAAGGACCGGCCAACUACGUGCCAGCCGCCGCGGUAACAC